GUCAAAUCAUGCUUCCCCAAGUUGUGAUAUCUAGUGGGAGUUUCAAACAACUGGCCAAUAGCAAGUGAAGAUACCAGUCCUGCCCCCUAAACAUACUUCCAAAAUCUCAACUUGUGGUUCUUAUCUAGGAAUCUCUGAAGAAGAGCAACUUUUCAGACAGGUAGAGUGUGCCUUGCUCCCAAGGAAAAGAGUUCUUGAAAAAAACAAAUGGGAAACAUGGCUACAAGAAAACUGGGAAGACUGCAAGAAAAUCUCAGAAUCUGCUUGAGAAUCCGGUCCUUCUUCCUCCAUACACCCAUGGAACACUCCCAAACUCUGUAUGCUGCUCACUAAUUCUGAUUAAGGUCUUCACCCUCCCUACCUUGGAAAUUGCUACAACAUAAUUGUGUUUAAUUUGAACAUUUCAUUUCAGGGUUUGGGGGAUCCUUACCAAGUUGAAAAUUUUAACAGAAUUCUUAGAAGACUAAUUCGAGUUGAAACCCUCUGGGAUUGCUAGAGAACCCCUUUUACAGGGAGCUGCUAUUUGCUUCAGCAGGCAGAAUGCGUAGGUGGAGUGAGCUUUGGUGGCAAUGAGAGGGGCCAACAGAGGUCCUCAGGAGUGAAUUAGAUGAAGGAAAUUGAGCAUCCAC
rnacentral:lncRNA from 1 species